UUCUAGGUUUUAUGUAUUAUACUAUUUUUUUUAUUUCUUUGUACGGGGUGGCACUUUGUAUACUUCUAUAUUGCCUAAAUAUGAAGGUUAUACAAUAAUGAAAGUGAUGAAUGGUGGCCACGACAAUAUUUAUAUUUUUUUUGUGGUAAACAGGGCUUUUGGAGAUUUUAUGUACUCCGAGAUUUUUUUAUUUUUUGUUCUUUCAAUCGAUUGUACAUUUAUAAAGUGAAGGUUAUAUACUCUAAUGAAAGAGAACCAAGUGAAAU
rnacentral:lncRNA from 1 species